GACAGAGGGUGCAAACGUUGUUCGGAAUUACUGGGCGUAAAGCGCGUGUAGGCGGUCCGAUAAGUCAGGUGUGAAAGCCCUGGGCUCAACCCAGGAAGUGCACUUGAAACUGACGGGCUAGAGUAUCGGAGAGGUUGGUGGAAUUCUCGGUGUAGAGGUGAAAUUCGUAGAUAUCGAGAGGAACACCGGUGGCGAAGGCGGCCAACUGGACGAAUACUGACGCUGAGACUCGAAAGCGUGGGGAGCAAACAGG
rnacentral:rRNA from 1 species